UACGGAGGGUGCGAGCGUUAAUCGGAAUUACUGGGCGUAAAGCGAGUGUAGGCGGUUGCAUAAGUCGGAUGUGAAAGCCCCGGGCUUAACCUGGGAAUGGCAUUCGAUACUGUGCGGCUAGAGUCUGAUAGAGGGAAGUGGAAUUCCAGGUGUAGCGGUGAAAUGCGUAGAUAUCUGGAAGAACACCAGUGGCGAAGGCGGCUUCCUGGAUCAAGACUGACGCUGAGGCUCGAAAGCGUGGGGAGCAAACAGG
rnacentral:rRNA from 2 species